AUGUACCUACGGGACGCAGCAGUAGGGAAUCUUCCACAAUGGACGAAAGUCUGAUGGAGCAACGCCGCGUGAGUGAAGAAGGGUUUCGGCUCGUAAAGCUCUGUUGGGAGUGAAGAAAGAUAGAGGGAGUAACUGGCCUUUAUUUGACGGUAAUUACUUAGAAAGUCACGGCUAACUACGUGCCAGCAGCCGCGGGAAUACGUAGGUGGCAAGCGUUGUCCGGAUUUAUUGGGCGUAAAGC
rnacentral:rRNA from 1 species